AGAACUUCGUGAGGAAUAUGAAAGCCUGAGAAAGCUGAGAGAGGAAAAGUUACAAGAGGAGAAAACCUCUGAAGAUCAAAUCCACAAGCUGUUAUUGGAGGAUACGGAAACAGGGAAACGGAAAAUGGAUGACCAGAAAAAGAGAGAUGAGCCAUUAGUACUGAAGACAGAUCUGGAACAUUGUCCUGCGCGCCUCUCAGAUUCAGAGAACGAAGAACCUUCCCGAGGCAAGAUGACACAGACCCAUCGCUCGGCGUUUGUUUCUAAGAACAACUCCUACUCCUUAGCUUUCCUGGCAGGGAACCUAAAUUCCAAGGUGGAAAGGAGUCAGAGCUGCAGUGACACUG